rnacentral:rRNA from 1 species
UACGUAGGGUGCAAGCGUUGUCCGGAAUUAUUGGGCGUAAAGAGCUCGUAGGCGGUCUGUCACGUCGGACGUGAAAAUCCAGGGCUCAACCCUGGAACUGCGUUCGAUACGGGCAGACUAGAGUUCGGUAGGGGAGACUGGAAUUCCUGGUGUAGCGGUGAAAUGCGCAGAUAUCAGGAGGAACACCGGUGGCGAAGGCGGGUCUCUGGGCCGAAACUGACGCUGAGGAGCGAAAGCGUGGGGAGCAAACAGG